CCUACGGGAGGCAGCAGUAGGGAAUAUUGCUCAAUGGGGGAAACCCUGAAGCAGCAACGCCGCGUGGAGGAUGAAGGUUUUCGGAUUGUAAACUCCUUUUGUUAGGGAAGAUAAUGACGGUAUCUAACGAAUAAGCACCGGCUAACUCCGUUCCAGCAGCCGCGGUAAUACGGCGGGUGCAGGCGUUACUCGGAAUCACUGGGCGUAAAGAGCGCGUAGGCGGGAUAGCAAGUCAGAUGUGAAAUCCUAUGGCUUAACCAUAGAACUGCAUUUGAAACUGUGAUUCUAGAGUAUGGGAGAGGUAGGUGGAAUUCUUGGUGUAGGGGUAAAAUCCGUAGAGAUCAAGAGGAAAACUGAUUGCGAAGGCGACCUGCUGGAACAUAACUGACGCUGAGGCGCGAAAGCGUGGGGAGCAAACAGGAUUAGAUACCCCGGUAGUC
rnacentral:rRNA from 1 species